UCUAGUUGAAUAGGGGACUAAGGUGUUAGGGAAGAAACCACUCUAGUUGAAUAGGGGACUAAGUUGUUAGGGAAGAAAACACUCUAGUUGAAUAAGGGACUAAGGUGUUAGGGAAGAAACCACUCUAGUUGAAUAAGGGACAAGGUGUUAGGGCAGAAACCACUCGUUGAAUAGGGGACUAAGGUGUUAGAGCAGAAACCACUCGUUGAAUAGGGGACAACGGUGUUAGGGAACAAACCACUCUAGUUGAAUAGGGGGCUAAGUUGUUAGGGAAGAAACCACUCUAGUUGAAUAGGGGACUAAGUUGUUAGGGCAGAAACCACUCGUUGAAUAGGGGACUAAGGUGUUAGGGAAGAAACCACUCUAGUUGAAUAGGGGACUAAGGUGUUAGGGAACAAACCACUCUAGUUGAAUAAGGGACUAAGGUGUUAGGGAACAAACCACUCUAGUUGAAUAGGGGACUAAGGUGUUAGAGCUGAAACCACUCUAGUUGAAUAGGGGACUAAGGUGUUAGAGCAGAAACCACUCUAGUUGAAUAGGGGACUAAGGUGUUAGGGCAGAAACCACUCUAGUUGAAUAGGGGACUAAGGUGUUAGGGCAGAAACCACUCUAGUUGAAUAGGGGACUAAGGUGUUAGGGAACAAACCACUCUAGUUGAAUAGGGGACUAAGGUGUUAGAGCUGAAACCACUCUAGUUGAAUAGGGGACUAAGGUGUUAGAGCAGAAACCACUCUAGUUGAAUAGGGGACUAAGGUGUUAGGGCAGAAACCACUCUAGUUGAAUAGGGGACUAAGGUGUUAGGGCAGAAACCACUCUAGUUGAAUAGGGGACUAAGGUGUUAGGGCAGAAACCACUCUAGUUGAAUAGGGGACUAAGUUGUUAGAGCAGAAGUCACUGUUCUAGUAUCCUUUGCACAGUGAUGUAAUGUUUAAUAGCAUAAGAACAGCAAAUGAAGACGUACACUGAAGAAGACUGCAGUCAAUGUAUACUGUUCACUGAAGAAGGCUGCAGUCAAUGUAUACUGUUCACUGAAGAAGGCUGCAGUCAAUGUAUACUGUACACUGAAGAAGGCUGCAGUCAAUGUAUACUGUUCACUGAAGAAGGCUGCAGUUAAUGUAUACUGUUCACUGAAGAAGGCUGCAGUCAAUGUAUACUGUUCACUGAAGAAGACUGCAGUCAAUGUAUA
rnacentral:lncRNA from 1 species